AUGAUAUUUGUACCAAGGAAGGUA
rnacentral:siRNA from 1 species